GCAGAUGUGGUGUUAAUGGUUUGAGCACGUCAGACUUCCAAUCUGAAGGGGAGAGUUCGAGUCUCUCUAUCUGCA
rnacentral:tRNA from 3 species